rnacentral:rRNA from 1 species
GAGUUUGAUCCUGGCUCAGGACGAAGUGAUGCGUGCUUAUCACAUGCAAGUCGAACGGAGCGAAUGAAAGAAAGCUUUUAUGAGCUUAGUGGCAAACGGGUGAGUAACACGUAGACAACCUGCCGACAGGAUGGGGACAACAUUCCGAAAGGAAUGGUAAUACCGAAUGAAGCGGAGGAGAGGCAUCUCUCUUCCGUGAAAGAUGGCCUCUUUUUAUGCUAUCACCUGUCGAUGGGUCUGCGUCUGAUUAGCUGGUUGGCGAGGCCCGGCUCACCAAGGUGACUAUCAGGAGCCGGCUGAGAGGACAUUUUCCUUUGUUACUUUUUC